rnacentral:lncRNA from 1 species
UAAUAUAUAAAUAUUUAACUUAAUACGUUCAUUAUUAUUUUAUUAAUUUAUCGUCACACGUCAUUUACCAGUUGCCUAAUUACGAAAAGUUUCAUAUGACAUUAACCUCAAAAAUGAUCUUUGAAAACAAACAACAACAAACAGAGCAACAAAUGAACAAAUAACUACAUAAUGACUGAUAAUGAUAAGUGAUAAUAAUAACUUUAAUGAUAUGAAGGCUGAUGAAGUUUUAGACAACCAAUACAAGAUUUAGAACUUGACAUCGUGAUAAACAAAUUGUACAUUCAGGAACUCGUUUAAAUAUUAUAGGUUGAUUGACGAAUACUCUACAGUUGAUUAGAGCCC